AGGCUGGAGUGCACUGUUGCCAUCUUGAUUCACGGCGACCUCAGCCUCCCGGCCUCAGCCUCCUAAGUAGCUGGGAUUAUAGGCGUGUGCCAUCACACCCAGCUAAUUUUUGUAUUUCUAGUAGAGAUGGGGCAUCAUCAUGUUGGCCAGGCUAGUCUUGAACUCCCGACUUCAAGUGAUCCACCCACCUGGGCCUCCCAAAGUGUUGGGAUUGCAGGCGUGAGCGUGGCUAUAACAUUUUUGAGACGGGGUCCUGCUCCUUCGGCCAGGCUGGAGCGCGGUGGUGCAAUCACGCCUCACUACAGCCUCCACCUCCCAGGCUCCAGUGAUCCUUCUGCCUCCGCCUCCUGAGUAGCUGGGACUACAGGCACCCGCUACCACACCUGCCAAUUUUUUUUGUAUUUUCAGUAGAGAACGGGUUUCAUCAUGUUGGUCAGGCCAGUCUCGAACUGCUGACCUCAAGUGGUCUGCCCGCCUCAGCCUCCCAAAGAGCUGGGAUUACAGGCCUGAGCCACUGCACCCAGCCCAGGGAGCACUUUCUCCGUCCACAAAAACCCUGUGCAGCGGCCUCGGGUUGGGGCCGAGACAGGCUAGCUUUCUGGGCUCCUUCCUGCCUGGGAGAACCGCUGUAAAAGGGAGGUGACUUUGGUUACAGAAUACAGAAUUUCUGGAGUUGUGACAUGCUGCAAAAGCAACCAGCAACAGGGUCACUCUCUGCUGAGGGCCGACGCAUCUCACCUGAGCCAGGAGGGACCCUCUGCACCGUGAUGCAGCUGGGGGCGAGGCCGAGGGGAGAGUAGAGGAUGGCAGUCUGGAACCUCCUGGGACCGGUGACCCAGGAAGUGCGGCUCCAGGCAUCGAGGGGAUUCACUCACAACCAGCCCAGCUGAUUUGCAAAGUCCGCUUCAGGGGUUUUCUCGAAGUCUGGGGUUGUGGGGGAUAGGUGGCACCAAGGUCAACAUGGAGACGGACAGAGGUCACAACGCCUAUUUAUUCCCUACACAUCACGCCCUGCACCCAGAUGGGCUCGGCACACACCUCACCGCCAUGAGGGGCUGCAGGGCCCUGGGGGCCCCGUUCCUACUGUUACCUACGACACAUGGUAUUGCGCCUACCUCGCAGACGGCCAAGACCCAGGGAUUCCCAGGAUGCUCCGACUGCCAGCCCUGCUGCUGGGACCACAGCGCCGUGGGCUCACCUGCCACCCCCAGGCCCCAGGAGCUGAGGCAGGCCCCCCAAUGUCUAGCUCUCGGCUGCUCUCCUGGUGGCUGUUUUAGGGCCAAGGCAGUCCAACAGGAGACAGCAAACACCCGGAAGCUUCCAGUCAGCCAGGGAAGGACGCGGUCACACGAGGAAUGGCUGGAGGGGGACAGAUGUGACGGCGGUCAGAGCACAGGUGGAGACCCCGGCCGCACCACACACUCUAGGCAGGAGGAGAGGCCCUCAGCCAGGGACCACGCCAGCUCUCUCAACGGACGUCAGAGCCACAGCCACGCCGGCAGCAUUCCGGACACUCAGGGCCACGUGUGCCCGGUGGCGCAGAGAACGCCGCCGUGAUCUAGAAGGGUCUGCAGUGUGGCGGGACUUUGGUAAUUCUGGUUAAAAAAUGAGAAUGUGUACACAAGGGACGCCCCCAGCAACGGUGACGGGAUGAAGAGGCCACGUUGGAGCAGAAUGGACACACCUCGGGAGGCCUGGAGCUACUCGGCCCAGGAGUCGGCAUCUGCUGCGGACGGACAGGACGGACACGGAACCCCGGGAUGGAAACCAAGCCAGCCACGGGCCCCUGGAACCCACGGGGGACUCCAAGUGCAUUUUUUUUUUUUUUUGAGACGAAGUUUUGCUCUUGUUACCCAGGCUGGAGUGCAAUGGCGCGAUCUCGGCUCACCGCAACCUCAGCCUCCUGGGUUCAGGCAAUUCUCCUGCCUCAGCCUCCCGAGUAGCUGGGAUUACAGGCACGCGCCACCGUGCCCAGCUAAUUUUUUGUAUUUUUAGCAGAGACGGGGUUUCACCAUGUUGACCAGGAUGGUCUCGAUCUCUUGACCUCGUGAUCCACCCGCCUCGGCCUCCCAAAGUGCUGGGAUUACAGGCGUGAGCCACUGUGCCUGGCCAUUUUUAAACAACGCUAAGCGCAAUGGCUGCUCACAGUGAGAAAGGGACAAAAAUAUCCCUCACAAGGGCCGGGCGCGGUGGCUCAAAAAACGUAGGCAGAACGCUCAGACGUGCAGUCAAAGGCAGGUGCCCGGAUUGUCCUUUCCACCACCCAAAAACCUGGUUCCAUCCCCCAGGUGGCAGCUCUGACGCUGCAGAAACAAAAAGCUUCCGCGGGGGGGACGCCAGACACCAGCCCUUCCAGUGGGGGGCCCAGACCCCUAGACACCAGCCCUCCCAGGAAGCCGUGGCUUCCCCCUCAUCUCCACCCAGCCCCGAUCCACAGAUGGGAAACAGGACGGGGGAGAAGGAGGUGGCGGCCACCUGGAAAGGAGUCCAAUGCCCAGAGAUGCCCCCACCUGCCUCAGCGGUUCAGGGCAAGCUUCUGAGCCGGACGUGCUCAGGACUCACUGUCGAGUGCCCAGGGGGGCUCUACAGUCCCCGGGCAGCACUCCUGCUGGCUGCCCUCCCCUCGGGGCACUCCCUCGGUGUCACUCCUGCUGGCCGCUCCCC
ensembl:lncRNA